AGCUGGGGUGCAUGACUUAUUUAAACAUCUGGCAGACGCUGUUGUAUUACACUAUGUGAGGCACGGACAUGUUGAGGAAGUAUUGACAGGUUGAACGGCGAGGUUUUUGUGUUUGUGUUAGACAGGGCCACACAUUGUUGGCGAACUUUCCUAGCCAUGAGUACCUGACGGUGAUUUUCCCAGCCGUGGGUACCGGACGGCUAACGCUUCAACGAGAGCUACACCAGUCCUGUCUUCUCAUUCCCGUGUCCCUCCUGUCUACUCGCCUGCCUCGUCCUGGUCCUCUACUCUCCUGUUUUCUGCAAACCUCCUACUCAUCUGCUCGUCCUAGUCUCCUCAGCCAUCCCUGCCCUACCCUGGCCUCUCUCGAAGACAAUCCCAAAGCUUUGUUGAUGGUGAGAAACCGUGUCCAGGAAGCCUUGAGAGUCUCUGUCCUGCCCAGACAAAGUGGCACCGCACCCAUAUUUGUGUACACCCGACCUGACUUUGUUGCUCAGAACAGAUGCUUCCUCAGCCAGGGAGACCAAGUCGGCACCAUUGAGGAGAGUGUGGGCAAAGGAGUCCCUGGUGCUGUACUGUGGGGGGCCAGUGCUAACUAUGAUAGCCUGGUAACAUCACACCGUAGACUUCUACUGGACUGCUGAAAGACAUGACAGCACAGUAAUGGCAGUAAGGCAAACACAGACAAUGAGAUCAGUUAGAUAAUACUGGAAUAAAAUCUGUGUCUGAGUGACACACUGAAGGAUUGUGGUUCAAGACUGAAAUGUGCUAGCUUGUUUUCAGCGCCUCUGUAUAUUAUUGAACACCACCUAAUGUAAUGAUAAACACAAAACUGUGCUGUUAUAUCACUGUAACUCAUCCACUGUUAUAAACUAAUGACAAGCUGCUGGCCUUGUGCUAUGCUAUGUUCUCCAUGAUGUGUCUUGGACAGAUUUCUUGUUUUUAUAAUUUUCAAAUGUGGAAAACGUCGGCUCAUCUUUGCCUGCAACUGCUGACAUUGUAGAACAAACCAAAAAAUAUUUUUUUUCAGUUUCGGAACUUAUUCCAAAUCUUGCUCCUCUUUUCUCUUUCAGCACCACUCUAACCUUAAUAUUAGUAAUUCAUUAGCUCAUUCAUUCCCUCAGCUGAAAAUAAUGUGGUAGUUCUACUUAGAGUGAAGUAUUUUUUAAGAAAGUAAUUGCAUUUUUGCUUGAGUAUUGAGCUUGUGUACUUCUACUACCACUGGCAGAAUUUGUGCUGUCCAUGUCGAGCAUUGAGCUGGACCUGCAUCCUGUCUGCCGCUUCUCAGGUGUUAUCUUUACUGCUCUUCAGAUGUAGGAAUCAAGUUUGAUUAAUCUUAACCUCAAUGAAUUGAAUUAAUCCACCUUAAGAAUCCUGCAUUAUUCCCUUGUUACUGCUUUAACAAUGUGUGCAGCUUUAUGGGUGUAAAAUGUAGCAGUUACAGUAUAUAAUAUCAGUUAUCAUAUACUUGCAACUACAUACACUUAAAUGUGCACGGUGCAAACAUAAUAUAGAGACCAGUUCACUGCCACACACAUGUAUAAAUGGCAACAAAAGCACAGUGAUCCUCAGAAAAGUAAAUUUUCUCCUAGAGGUUUUGGACUCAGACAUUAAGCAAAAUGCUUUUUAUUUACCCCUUUGGUUCCUCUCUGUCUUGUUUAAUUUUUCACAACAGUAUCUCACCAAGGAAGC